rnacentral:pre_miRNA from 1 species
ACCUGCAUUGCAUGGCAAAAUCUCCCUUGGCAGGCAGCCAUGGAAAGCACAGUGUCGUUACUUAAUUGUGCCUCUUCCAAAUGCUUAAUUGUGCCCUCUGCCAAAGGAGAUUUGCCUAGCAAUUCUUUU